rnacentral:lncRNA from 1 species
CAGGGCACCCUUGAGUACACAAUCUAGCAUUGACAAAUACUUUAACGAAGUGAAUGAUGCGAUGCUUUGCAGAAGCUAGCUUACGUGGAGAUCAGACUCGUCCAAUAUCAAUUCUUCCAAGUUGGUGAAAUUGUGCAAUUCUAUUUAGAAAGAAGUAGAAACAAUAGAUUUUAGCUAUAUAUAUUAAUUCAAUUAUUUUCGACAUAAAAGAUUUACUUACCUUGAUUAACUACUGUUCCCUUAAAAUUAGUGUACGAAAGGUAAAGUGUUUUGAGGGACGGUAGUGAUCCUAUUGAUUGCAACACCUUGCUUCCAUCUAUCAUUGGAAUUCUGCUUCCCCCUAAACAAAGGGUAUUCAACUUCCUCAAACCUCUUAAAUCUGUUUGGGAUACAAUUUCGGAUUAAAUUAUUUUGGGUAAGUGUCAUUGGGCAUUCCCUAAUCAAAUCUAUUAAACUGUCCUGCAAAUUAUUAGUAUUUGAACAUUUUGUAUACCUUUAGGAACCACAAGAUUGUCGAUUGCAUUUCCUCCAAGUUACUCAAGGAAUUCAGUCCUGCAUUUAUGCCAACACUUAAAACAGGGUUAAUUAAAUAACUUAUUUUCUUCUUCUUUAUUUUAAAUCUUGGCGCAAAAGAAUUUUAUUAAUAAGCAAAAAAGUACACGGCUAACUAGAAAAACCUAUAAAAGUUGCCAAGGGCAUGAUUGAGUGGUUUUAAGUAGGUAUAUUUGGCUGACAACAGCGAAUUUAAAUUUGUAAGGAAUAAAAAUUUAUUUCAACUUUACCUACUGCUACACCUUAUUCUUGUUUCAAAUUAAACACGAAAUUUUAAUUUGUUAAAUACUAAAUGGCGUUAAUUAAUUAAUUAAUUAAGUAAAUACAAGUUGGUUUAUGGAAGCCAAUAUCUGAUCCCUUCACACUAACCAAAAUACUAAAUUCAGUGCACAAAUUUAGAUAUAGGCAGAUAAAUAAGAUGCAUGUUAUUAUGGCUUACCUUGAACAUCAAAACUCUUUUUUUUUAAUCCAAUCCCUCUUAGGAUAUAAACUCGUUAACGAAGAAAGAGCAUUAGAAAAAAUCAAGCUACGAUGUUGAUUACUUUUGAAGACAAGACAUACAAAAUAAUUAGAUUGAAUUGUGUCUGAUUAUGAGAAGCAUUGAAAAUUGCAUAUAUUGUUAGAGAAUAAUAAGAAUAUGGAGGCAAAGAACAAAGAAAGUUUCUUAGGAUUUGAAACGUGUUUGCACACUUUCCUUUGAGGUUUUAUUUGCCCUCACUAAUCUUGGUUUGCUGUAGAGUUUUUCUUGGCAAAUUACCCCCAAGAUAUAUCAAAUCCUGAAUACAAUCUCUAGCAAAAAAGAUUGUAUUUCCAGAACAUAUAUGAAACCUACAAAAUCUGAUAAUCAAUCUAAUUGUGCGUCUUUCUUUAAUGAAGAAGAUGUUUAUUUGAAAGAAUACAACCAUUAGAAAUCGUACUUCUUCGAAGACACUCUUUUGGUUUGAAUUUGCAUCGAUUGACAAUUGAAAUUUUCAUUCUUGCUAACCGUUUUUCCAAUUGACGCCUUUUUGGAAAUAAACGGUUAGCCAUUUUCUCAAUAAACGGUGAGCCGUUUUAUUAAACGGCUUUUUAUCCAGAACAGCAAACAUGCUCUCUAGACUUAAACGGUUAGCCGUUUGCUCAAGAAACGGCAAACCGUUUUCGUCCAGAAUAUCAAACCAAAAAACUUGAAAAAUGUUACAAUCUCUCUUACAUAUAUUGAAAAUUUCUUAAUCCUAUUUUUAUAAUAUUCAAAGCCUUGAAGCCUAAACUAGCAAGAGUCUAGCUAGAUCUCGUAUCAAUACUUCCAGUUGGUCGAUGAAAUAAGAUCCACAAAGAUGGGACACGGAAGAAGGCAUGAAGCUUACUUACCUUUAAUAACAACACUUCCAUUCAAUCUAUUACUACGCAAUGAUAAGCAUCUGAGUGAUGAAAGACCACCUAGAGAUGAAAAGAUGCUGUUGUUGAAGGAGUUAAAGUCUAAACGAAGAAACUUCAAGUUGCUUAACCUUGAUAACCUACCUAGACCUGACAAAAAAUAAAAAGUAAUUUUAUUGUGUCACGUACAAAUUAAAUAAAAGCCAAAAGGGAUCAAAUAAAUGUAAGAAAUUACGAGGAAGAAUUAAAAUAGAGUAAAUUAAGGACCUUCAUUUUCAACACAACCGACUAUAUUGUUCCCAAUUAGAUCAAGAGACUCUAAUUGUUGAAAGGGAGUAAACAACGAGCAUUCAUAUGUCGCUUUUCUGAUUCCCAAUUCAAAUGCUGUUCUGUUGAUUCCAAAAUCCUAGUUAAUCACUCUGCCAGUGGUGUUGUUGCACUCAACCGCUUCCCACUGACAGCAAUUUGAAUAAUUCUCAUCAUUUGCCGCAUCUGCCCAGUUUUGAAGACGUUGAUUAUCAUUGAAGAAAUGUUUAAGUUGGAUGAGAGCAGACCUCUCCUGCUCCAAACAUCCUUGACUCCACCACCCUUUUUACUACUAAUAAUAUGAAAAUUAACUCACUCAUCCACACCCUUUUUGAACCACACAUUAUAUCUUCUUAAUUAUAAUCACCUACACACACUCUUUCUGUCUCUCUUUGCUUCAGUUCUGCAACAAUGAGAGGAUGGCUCUACGUUAUUUAUAACCAAUUGAACUGAUGAUACUCCCAGCUUUUAAUUGACUUCUCUAAGUCUUGCAUGCAUUUUUCUUAAUUUCUUUUUAUUUUUGCUGUUAAUAUAUAAUAUGAUUGUAAUAUAUUUUUAUUUAAUUGAGUCAAUUGAAAAUAUUUCCUCUCCAUCCAUAUGGGAUGUCAUAAAUAUCUGCACAGCCUGGAUUCUGACGGAACCUUGGGCAACGCGGGUAGCCGGACUUCACUAGACAAGCUUAUGGGCUAGCUCAAAACUUGAAUUUUAUGAAGAAUAUUACAAAAUAUCUAUUGUUUUGUUCAUUUAGUCCACUUAUUAUCUAUUGAUUUAGGAUGGUCUAGGGAGAAUGAAUAGGAUGUCUUCACAAGGCCAUAACUUGAGCAAUUGGUAUUUGUCUUAGGCUCAUAAUAUAUCAUUAUGAAGUUCUCAAGGAAAAGUGACAUUUUCAAUAUGGAUUAACAGAUCCUUGCUAAAUUUCUCUUAGGUGCUUAUAUUUUUGUCUGAAGAUAUCUUUCUUAUUUUUAAAAAUUCUUGUUAGAUUUUUAUUUAUUUUUGUCAAUAUUUGAUUUAAGUGUCAUAUUUUCUUAAUUUGUUUCGGCAGGUAAAAUUUUUAUUUUGCCAUACCAAUUCAGAUUUAGGGUUUAGUAUAAAAGGCUGUUAAAAUCCUAGUAUAACUAAUUAAAUAAUAAGAAUAUGGAAGUUAAAAUAAAAGGAUUUCUACGCCUAUCCUAGAUCACACGACAAGUGACUAUAUAUGAUGUUAGCCAAAAAAUUAAAAAUAAAUGCUAACCACACCGAACCUCUAGACUUUAACGAUGACUUUGGAUGAGUUCUUGAAUAUUGAUCAGCGAAUUUCUCUUCUUUAUUUAUUUAUUUCACUAUAUUCCACACAUCACCCUGAUUACAAUUUUAUUUUCUUUUAUUUUUUUCUUCCAGUUCAGUCAACAAGAAAAUAACAUGUAAUUGAACAAACCCUUUAUCAAGUCUCGGUCUUAUGCUGAUCCCUGUAACAGUGCUUGUAUUUGCCAUAUCAACAUCAUUUGUUGUCACGAAGAAGGUGAAGGGUCUUCUUUCUUUCUUGGAAGUUCAUGAAAGGAAAUCAUGUUUUACACGUUAGUUGACUUUGAAUUGACCCCAUAUUGUGAAACAUUGGCCCUCAAUCCUCUCUCUCUCUCUCUAAUUACUAAAUAAGUGAAAUUAUUAUUGAAAAUUUUGAGCAACAAACCAGCAAUUUUACAUAAAAAAAGAAAAAAAAUCGAUAGUGAAAUGUAAAGAACGACCUGGUUAAUCUUUAUCCACAGUGGUAGUUUUCAACAGCUUUACAAAAUAACUGGAAGCCAAGUAUUUCAAUCCAAACUCAUGGAGAACGAAAAAAUUACCUAAAAGAAAGAACACAUUGCUUUUAACAAUCUUUCGCAGCCAAAGACAUUGAUAAGGUGGAAUAUGUAAUAUUGGUGCAUUAAAGACCACCGCAAAGGUUAUAUUUUUCGGUGUUUGUUUUACGAUAGGACAAUUCGUACUCUAGAAAAUUUAUUUAUACUUAUGCAUAAAUUUUAUUUUAUUUAACUUAAAAAAAUUAGGGAUAAUAAUUUGGUUACAAUCUUUAGAAUUAGAUAGAACCUUCCUCAAGUCUUGGGUCCAAAAACUUAUUCUUGUACGUAGUAACAUUAUGUAUUUGUCACAUUAACAUAAUUGUAGUCACUGUCCGGAAAGAGACGAGAGGCACUCUCUUUCAUGGAAAUUCAUGAAUGCGUGAAAGCAAAUCAAAUCGUUUUUGGGUGCGUGGAAGUUAGGCAAGCAAUGUCCGCUCAAGUUUUAUAAUUAUAAUUGACUUUGAGUCAACAAAUGCCCCCUUUUCUCUCUUAUUUCUAUGACUAAUUAAAUAAAUUAUUUUUAAAAAAAAACAACAACAACAGUGAAAAUUGAAAGCAAGAAAAAUUUAAGUGAAUGACAUACUUAACUGAAAUGCCAGUAAUCAAAUGCAAAGAAGACCUGCUUAGUCUUUUCAAGAGCUAUUGAAUACAACUUUAUCAAUUCAAAGUUAUGGAUAUAAUGAAAAAGCGAACAUUGCUUUCAACAAGCAGUCUAACAUAUUUUUAAUGUAGGCAAUCUCACAAAAUCUGUUGAGAGAACUCCACUGAAGAGUAGAGUAAUGUUAUGAUUUCUGACAGUUAAGUUUUAAUUUAUGUGUGUUAUUAAUCUAUUAUAUAUUAGAUUUCAUGACUAUUAAAAUUAAUAUUUUACCACUGAAUAGAUGAUUACUAUACUAAUUGGGACCAAAUUAAGAGUUGAUUGUUAGGAUCCCAAAUACUACUGUGCAAAGUAAUAUAUUGGGCAUAAGCAAGUCAUUGAAGCGAGCGAAAAAUUCAACCCAUUACAAACCAUUGGAUUUCUUUUCACAACACAAGCAUUCUUGUCAUCGGCAAUUCAAACAACCAUUCCGUCCCUUUCUCUACUCAAUACCUUCCUUAAAUUGUUUCUUCUUAAUUGUUCAUAGCCUUAACCUCUAUUUAAGCACAUGUUUCUUAGUAAUUUCUUAUUUUAACAUGCUUUCAUCUUUUGAUAACGAGUUAGGACAAUUUAAUAAUACUGUAACUUUCAAAAUAAUUAAGGUUAGUUGUGAUGUAAAAACAAUUAGUCGUGUGAAGAUAAAUUGUUAAGUUUUUAUUUAUUUUUUUAUGCAAUACUAGAUAUUCCAACAUUUAAGUCCCAAUCUAGUCCCAAUAAAUAUAACAUUUAUCAAGUGGUUAAGUAAUUUUACAAACUAUGAAAUCUAUUAUUUAAUAAAUGAGUGAUACAUAAUAUUAAGAUUCAAAUAUUAAGAUUUCUAACAUCAUUAUUAGUAAAUCUUCUUCUCAUAAUUAAUUUUGGAAAACCAUUCCAUUUUUCUUUUUCAAAAGAUGCAGUAGCAUGUGUAGCGGUUUGAAUUAAUUGUGCAAACUACUUUUCAACUAAAUAAACAAAAAUGGGCCCUCAAUUUGGUUGCAAUAGCGUGUGUAGAAGUUUGAAUUAAUUUCUACCACUCUUUUGUACUUGUCAAUGGUCUCUUAGCCCAUUGUCACACCCCACACUCUCCAAACUAGCGUGUAUGAGUUCUGAGUCCUAACUAUUGAAAGGACUUAAUUCUCGUUCCAGUUAAAUUGGAUAGAAGUAAAAAUAUCUCUUCAUUAAUAGGGGAGAAGAAUAUAUAUCUAUCUUUGAUAUUAUAUGAGAAUAGAAAUUUGGGUUGUACUAGUUUAGAAUUAUUAAAGAUAGUCAGAUGAAGUUCUAAUUGUAAAUAUUAAUAGAAUUCUGAUUGUAAUAUAUUAAAAUGAACAGAUGUAAGUUUUCUUCUUAUUUUUAAAACUUUUAGAGCUUCAUUGACAGAGAGAAAAAGAGAAAUUAGAAACUCAUGAAUAUAGAAGGCUAGAGAUUUUAUUAUUUUUCGCUAUGCUUCUAACAAAGAGAAGCUGAGCUUAUAUAGGAGGAAAACCAAGGAAAAGGAUAGGACAGGCCCCUAUCACUUUUCUAAAAGCAAAGACAUAAUUACAAGCGACGAGCUUUUGGAAAAGUAAAAGCAAUAAAGACAAAUUAAAGUAUGACUCAUGCUUUAAUUAUUACAAACUUUGAAAAAAGUAAAUGAUGCCAAAUUGCAUGAAUCACGGAGAUGAGAGAUUCAUGUAGUUUUCAUCAGAUGAGUUGUCGGUCUCAUGACUUUGAGUGAUGGACAUGGAGUUUCUGGUGGAUGUUGAUGAUCUGGGCGACAGGGUGGCCAAGGGCAAAAUAUCUUGCGCCAAGAAGAAGAUGGGUGUUCUUUGGAGCCGGUUGGUGUGCUAGAACUGGCUUUAUUUGUUGGAUCGUCUGAGGCAUGUGUUGGUGGAGUUUGUUGGAGGUUUUGAAGAUGUUGACUUAAUGGCAAGAAUGCUUCCCAUGGGUCUUGUGCAUCUUGGUAUAGAAAAUUAGUGAAGUCUAGUUUUUCUUCCUUGAUGAUAAUACCCGUGGAUUUAGGUUUUGAAAUUGCUGAAGGAGUGGGGAUCAUGAUGAUAUCAUGCUGUGGACCGAGGGAGGUGUGAGAAAUAUAGAGUUCCUUUUGAACUUUAUCGUCUUGUUCAAGGAUGGCUGGGUGAGGUGUGGUGAACUAUUCAAAAACUUGAUCUUGAGUCCAGAAGAAGUGUGUAUCUGGGUGUUGGAAGUAUGGUCUAUAAAUAAUGAACAUAGAUGUGAACAUUUUUGCUUCUGAUGCUGGCAUACGUUCCAAAUUAUGAAAUUGUGACAAUUGUUGGAGUUUCAUUCUCCACCAUGGAAUUGGAAAAAACCAUUCAAGAAGCGUCCAGAUGAGUGAGGUUGAUUUGUCUAGAUUGAACAAAUAUUCUAAGGUGGCUGUUAUUGGAACGAUCAGUUUGGUGGCAUAGAGGACAGUUAGGCACCAGAUGUACCAUAAUUCAUCUUUUGAAAUGUCUCUGAAGGGAUCCAGGGUUAAUCCUGUGAGAAACAAGUUUUCUGGAUGGAAAGUGGAAAAUGGAAAUGAGUCUGAUAAGAGAUAGGCUUUCAUGAAAAACCUAAAUACAGCUUUCUUUGCAAACUCUUGUAUGGCAAAGACUGUGGUGAAAGUUUUCCCAAGGGGAAAGGUUUUUUGGGUAAGGGCUUGUGAGGGGAGUGAAGUGGCCAUGAAGAUGACAGGAAAAUGGUGUUAUGAGGAUAUGAAAAACAAGGAUUUAUCUGGUUUAGCAAGUCUUGAGAGCAUAUUAAGAAUAAGGUUGUGGUCUCCUUUUAUAUGCUUCACAGAGAAAUCAUAUUUUGAAAACCAGUCUUUUAGCCUAAGCAACAUCUUUUCUGGAACAUUUUUCCCUUUGAAAUUCAUGAUGUUGGGAAAAGCUGAGUUGUCCAUUCUGACAAGAAAGUGAUAGCCGAUAAGAUGAUACUCGAACUUUUGAAUACCAUGCUUGACAGCUAAAAUUUCUUUGAACACACUGUGAUAAUGGAUUUGUGUGUCAGAGAAGUGUCCUCUGGCAUAGCCAAUAAAGUGUUCUUUGCCAUCUGUUUCUUCAAGGAGGAUGGCCCCCCAUGAUUCGUCACUUGCAUCAGUCUGCAAUAUUCGCCUGCCAUCGGUGAUGAGCUUUAAUGGUGGCGGAUUUUGCGCAAUUUGUUUUAACAUUGUGACAGCAAGUGUGUGGUUGUUAUUCCACGAAGGUGGAUUCUUCUUUAGCAAGGCUGACAACUGGCGGGUGUAAUGUUAAUAAUACCAAGAAACUGCUGGAUUUGCCUUUUGGAAAGAUUCUGAUCUGGAAAGUGGAUGAGCUCUUAAGCAAUGUGCUUUCCUGGCUGAUAGUGACCAUCUUUGAUAGUCAUUCCAAGGAAUUCAAUGCUAUUUGUGGCAAUUGUACUUUUCUUAGCUGAUAACAUGAUUCCAUGAGAUUGAAUAAUAUCAAAGAAUUGAUUUAACAAAUGGCGAUGAUCAUCUUGUGUACCUGAAAUCAACAUAAUAUCGUCAAUGUAAAAUAAUGCACUAUGCAAAAUGGGUUGGAAGAUUUGGACCAUGGAUUUUUGGAAAAUAGAUGGGGCUGUUUUAAGACCAAAGGGUAAAAUUGUCCAUUGAUAGUGGCCAUUGGGAAUGCAAAAGGCAGUUUUGUAACAUUCUGAAGGUUUAAUUCCAAGUUGCCAAAAUCCGGAUUUAAGAUUAAAUUUUGAAAAGAGUUGAACAUUUUUGAGGUAGGUGAACAUGCUCUAUCUUUUUGGCAAAGGGAAUUUGUCAUCUUGUAAAAACAUGUUUAGAGGUUGAUAGUCAAUGACUAAUCAUUUUUUUCCCCUAACAAUCUCAGAAUGUUUUUCAACAUAAAAAGCUUGACAAGUCCAUUGAGAACUGAGAACAUUCCUUUUGGGCUAGGACUAAGUCGGAAGGACUCAUUCCUGGAUGGGUGGCUUUGGUUGGAUUGACAUCUUCAUUCAACUUGAAAGGCAAUUGAACAAAAAAAUGUGGAUUUCUCCACAGAGGAUUUGGAUGGUGAAAGUCAGCAUGAGACUCAGGACAAUAUUUCAAAAACUUUGUGGAAAUGUCUUGGAAAGGCUGGGAGGUUUCAGACAAACCAUAAAGCUUAAGAAUAUUGGUGAAUGGUUUAAACAUGGACUUGACUCGAAUUUCAGUAGGAAUGAUUUGGAGGUGUUUUAUCUAGUGAAUGAUAUCAAAUCCUAACAAGAUGUCCUUAUUAGGCAGAUGGGAACCGAUGACUUUUGUCUAGAUAACACAAUUUGGAAAGAUUUGAAUACCAAUGGGUUUUUUGGUAAUCAACUUGGUGGUGAAGAAUUUUCCAUUGACUGCUUUGAAAUUUUCUUCAUAAUGUUGCCAAGACUGAGAUGGAAGUAUGUCUGGGUUUAACAUACUUCUUUGGGCUCCGGUAUCAAGAAGUCCAAUGGCGGGAAUUGGUCUCUGGAAUUUGGUAGGUAAGAUGUGGAGUUUUAUGGAAGGGAUAUGUAUGGUAGUGUCGAGAGAUAAAAGUUGUUGGUGAAAAAUAGUUUGAAACUCAUCAUUUUCAGAAUCAUCGGAUGAGUUUUGCAGUGNNNNNNNNNNNNNNNNNNNNNNNNNNNNNNNNNNNNNNNNNNNNNNNNNNNNNNNNNNNNNNNNNNNNNNNNNNNNNNNNNNNNNNNNNNNNNNNNNNNNNNNNNNNNNNNNNNNNNNNNNNNNNNNNNNNNNNNNNNNNNNNNNNNNNNNNNNNNNNNNNNNNNNNNNNNNNNNNNNNNNNNNNNNNNNNNNNNNNNNNNNNNNNNNNNNNNNNNNNNNNNNNNNNNUGUAAGUGCUCAAGAAGUCUAAUUGCUUUAUCUUUUUUGUUGGGGCAAUAUUUAGCAUAAUGGCCUUUCUUUUUGCAAAUGAAGCAUCGACUUGACUUUCUCCUUUUCUGUUCUAUGAAAGAACUAGAUCUUUUCCUAAAAAACCUGUAUGAUUUUCGCUUGGAUUUUGAUCUAGGAAACGAAUCUGAAUUUUUUAAUUUUCAGAAAUGCUUCUUCCUUUUGGUGCUGCAAUCACAAUCUUUCUUUUUCUUGCAUUUGAUCUGUAAGUAAGGCUUUUUACAAACACUUCGAAAAGGCUCUUUGUCUUUUAACAGUUCUUUGAAGAACUGUUUCUAUUCACAUAAUUUUUCCAAACAUCCUUUGGCGAUCUGAAAGAUCUUUCCCAAGAAAAUGUUGUCAAUGGUGAGAUUGAGACUCGUGAGCUGCCUCUGUAUAUCUGGUUGCAAUUCUUCAGGUAAUGAUGCCAGAAAUACAUGUUUGAGAGUCGGAUCAUUGAACCCAUUGAGCUUAUAAAACAGGAUUGACAUCCGUUUAUAAUGGAAAUCAAGAUCUUUAGAGUUGAGGGAGUAGCAUUUCAUAUUGAGGUAGUCUCGUCUUGCAGCUUCAAAGACUGCUGCCGAUUCUCUAAUGAAUUGUUCGUGAAUGACAGAAAGAGCAGUUGAAACAUUAGGUAGUUGCAUAAACUGUAAUUGUCUGUACUCUCCUAAAGUAUCAAACCAAUCUCUUAAAGGUCCCGUGAAACGGGUAGCAAGUUCUCUAAGGACUGAUGCUGUAGUAGCAUUUGCUCUUAACAUUUGGAGAUCUGUCCAAGUAGCCAGUUCGGAUAAUCUGUUUCUCCAUUUAGCUAUAGGGAUAUCAUCAAAAGUGAACCAUGGACCAUUUGAAGGUUUAUGAUCAUUUUGGGGUUGAGCAGGCCGGUUUGAAGCUGAGGAUGUUUCUGGUGGAUCUUCCUCAAUAUCUGAGGGUAUUUCAAAAAAUGGGUCAGUUCUUGAGGAUUGAGCACGCUCAGUCUCUUUAGGUUGGACCAUAAGGAUUCUAGUGAUGUCGGCAUGAGAUUUUUCAUAAUCACUAGAUGAAAUGGAAGAUUAUAAGGAAGAUUCUAUUUCGGAUUUAGAUGGAUCUGGGAUUAUUUGUGCACUGUAUUGUUGCAUUGGGGAUUUAUCUUUGGCCUGAGUUGGUGGUGGUUGAGGAGGAAGUGGGGUAUAAAGAGGCGGUUACUGUUCUGGGAUGGACAAAGGUGGUUGAAAAGGUUGUUUUUCUGAUCUUGGUCGAGGAUGAGGUUUAGAUCUAGAUGGUUUUGGCAGAGGAUUAUUUCUAAACAAAGUAUGGGUCAUGCCAAAUAAUUUGGACGGGUCUUGUGGUUUUAUGGGAGAAAGCAUAGGUGCAAAUGGAUGGAAGGCUGGGCUGAGGGUAGGUAAGGGUGAAGAGGUGGUAAAUAAUGAUGGCCUUUGCCUUUCUGACUCAAUCUGUUCAAGUUCCGCUUUCAAUUUUCUGAUUUCCUUUUCUUUUUUAUCAAAAUCUGGGCCAUAGUAUCUAUGACUCAACAUGGUUCUUAAUUCUGAAUCUAGUUGAGAGAUUCUGGAUUGAAGAUUUUGAUAAAUUUGCUGCAUAUGAGAAGUGAUCGAAUCCAUCUUAGACUCAAUAUGAUCAGUUAGUAAACUGAUAUGAUUAACCUUCGUAUGGAUAUCAACCAAGGUUUCAUUUUGAGCUCUGGCAUUUUGGGUUUGCCAGUUGAGAACAGCCUCAAAAGGUUUGGGGUCUUCUAAGUGACCUGUGGGAGUUAUGGCUGAAGAAAUAAAGGGUUUGGUUAUGACCUUUCGUUGUGGAUCGGUCUGGGUUUCUAGAGCAGGGAAAUUGGAGGAAUAAUCUUGGGAGGUGGAUGAAAACAUCACACAAGCCAUAGGAUGUAUGGGUUGUUUGGAAUUCUGGAUAUGUGGAAGAACUUCAAUUUUGCAAUUUUUUGCAAUCCAUCUAAGUUCUUUUCGGUAGAUGGGUAAUGGAGAUGGUGGUGGUGGAGGAGGAUUAUGAGGUGGUUUAGUUUGGUUGUGUGAGCACGGAGUUUUAGGUAUCUUCUUUUUUGGUUUUCUUCUCUGCUGUGGUUCCCAAUCAUCCCAACAGGGACAAUCUGGGUCACAAUUUCCUGAGCAGGGGGAAUCCCAAAGAAAGUGGCCAUUAAAUUUGGCAGGGUAGAUAGGAUAUCGUUCUGAAUUGAAUCCUGUAAUUGGCAGCUUUUCUUGAGCAGUUUGAACAGCUGUAACCAUGGCUGAAUAAGUGAAUGACAGUUGUGGAGGCUCCUCUGGUGCUGUUGAUGGAGGGCGAAAAGUCAUUCGGACAGUUCCAUCAGAUCUUCGUUCAAACAUACUUUCUAUUGUUUGGAUAGGAGAAGUAUUGGUGUGGAACUUCUCAUAAUUUGAAAUACAUUCCAAGGGCAUGAGUUUUAUGAGUUCAUGUCUAGGGAUCUGUCUUGGAAUUUGAAUGAUGGUUGGUAUCUGAUCUGAUUCUGCUAACACCAUGAGGGCGUUAGAGUGGUGCUCAGGUGUAGGAAGAUCUGAGGCAUGGUUCUGGAGCCUAUAAACCAAUUGAUAGUGAAGAGUUGCAAUUUUUGCAGAAGAGAUUUGUUCUGCACCUUGAAUUUGCACUUGGACUUUCAAGGCAGUGGAGAGAUUAGUGUCUUGAAGAGAAAGUUUGAAAUUGGGAUAGAAAGUGAGUAAAACACUACCAGCAUGAAGAGUGGUUAAGACAGUACCAAUAACAGCAUCUUGGUAAUGUGUGAACCUAGUAUCCAGCAUAGCAAUUCGGGUUGUGACUGGUAAUCCUUUCCUUCCAUGUAAGGUUAGGAUUACUCUGACUCCUUCGAUAUGGAGAUGAGUAUAACCUUCUCUCUGCCAAUUGGAAAUCAAUUCUGGGGGAAUUUCCAGAGUGACAUAUUGUUCAGCUGGGGUAGCCUGAAGGGAACAUUGAUCCAAUCUGGAUGACUGGAUAUAUUCUUUUGGAUGUGGUCUUUUGGUGGAAAUAAGGGUUCAGAUACUGCGAGUAAAGGAGUGCGGACGUUUAUAGAGGUGAUAAGGACUAAGAAGAGGAAAAGAAGAUUCAUUGAUCGUUGUCUGUUUCCAUAGAGGAUAUUAUAGAGCAGAACUCGUAGUCCUUAUGAUUACCUGUUUCCAUAAGCCACCAAUAUCUGACCGUUGCUUUCAUUUACAAAUAAUCUAACGGCCAUUUAAGAUACAAAGUUUGUGGCCCUCAUUCUCUAUUUCUUACUUUUGUUGUUUUUCCUUUUUGAAAAAAAAAAUUAAAAUUAUGUUAUAAACAUUUCGUAAAUUAUUGUUUUAUUUGUCAAAAUUACAUUGCAAUCUAUUUAUAAAAUCAAGUGUUACCCUAAUUUUAAUUUUAAUGCAAGUUUUCUUUAUUAUUAAAGAAGAUACAGAGCAUAAAAUUAUUGGAAACAACAGAAUUUAACCAGGGUCCGGUUAUGUUACAGCAAUUGUAAGUAACAGCAAUGACAUGACUAAUUGGCCCAUGUAACAGCAGCACGUGGCGGUUAAAUAGGCAUAUAAAAUUAUUGAACUAAUCGAUUGUAAUCUGGUUGCACAAGCUGUCAACCGGAUUGUACCGUACCCAACAAUAAUUUCAAAAUUAAUUUUUUUUAUCCUUUCGUCCCUCAAUGCACGAUCCAAAUUAAAUGGCUUUCAAUACUCUCCAAUUACUCCAUUCAUAGUUUAAGUUGUAGCCAUCAUUUCAAUUUCCCAACAGAAAAGAAAAAAAAAACUACAGCAAAUUUGAAAAUAUCCAUCCAACAUAUAAUUUCAUGGUUUUAUUUGUACAACUUCUGGUCCUAACACUUUAGUGCAUGUUUAGUAUUAUUUACUUAAUGAAAAAAAUAUUUUUUUUCAAAAAAUAAGAAAAAAAAUACUUAACUAAUCCAAAAAACUUAUUAAAAAUUUUUGUGUUACAUGGUUGUAUUUUGAGUAGAGCUUUUGAGAAUGAAAUAAACUAUUUUGUAUCCACUAUUAAAAACUCAAAUUUUAAACCUCUUAGCGAGUUUUUUUUUUAAAGUUCAAUUAUCUAAGAUACUCUUAAUUUAUUAUAUAAUCUUAUUUCAUUUCUCUCAUGAUAGAUAUAACUUUAAAAGCUUAUUUAUUAAAGUACUUUUUAAAUUUUUUAAUAAAAUUUAUCAUUGACAAUUCUAAUUAAUUUUUUUUUUCAUAAAAGCUCUACUUUUCUCCAAGCUUUAUGAAAAGCCAUAUUAGACAGAGCUUUAAAUAGAAAUUAAAAUUUCGCAACGUAUCAUUAACCACGAACCUUGGAUAAUUUAUUUAGUGUAGGAACAUCUCUAUCUUCUCUCAUUAUCAUCCCUACUAUUUUCCCUCUUUUCAAAUCCUAGUUAUACAAGAUAUUGGAAAUAAAUAUUUAAUCAAUGAAAAGAAAAUUUUCUUAGAUAUUUAGGGAAGCAUUAGCUCUAAUAUAGAUCUAAAUUAUAAAUUAGUAUACACAUUAAUAUUAGAUUUGAGAAUCCACAUCUCUAUCUUCUCUCAUUAUCAUCCCUACUAUUUUCCCUCUUUUCAAAUCCUACAUAUACAAGAUAUUGGAAAUAAAUAUUUAAUCAAUGAAAAGAAAAUUUUCUUAAAUAUUUAGGGAAGCAUUAGCUCUAAUAUAGAUACAAAUUAUAAAUUAGUAUACACAUUGAGACACCAUGAAAAACAAAUAGAUUUAAGAUGGAAAUAAGAUCUAUAACCUAUGAUUUGAUUUUUUUUUCCCUUUUCAGCUGGUUUGUUUGAAAUAAACUUGGACUAAUGCAAGCUGUAAUCUAUUUUUUGUUAAAUUCAAUAUUAUCCAUUGGAUUUCAGAUUCCCAAAUCCAACGAUCCAUGCAGGCGGUUUGUUACUUACACAAGAUGUAACAUAGUGGCUGCCAUUUAACCAUUUAAUUUUGAUCACAUACAUGGCAUAUAGCUAAACUGGUCUGCUUCUGCUCACCUCUUACUUUGUUACUUAUUUCUUUACUCUCUCCUACAAAAAUGGCGGCGCUAAUUAGUAAAAACAUUUUCAGAAAUGCUGCAAUCUCUCAUUCAAACUCAAAAAAUUCAGCAGCUCAACUCGUAUUUUAUAAAGAAUUCACUUCUAAGCUUUUCGUCAAAGGUAUUCUCUCUCUAUGAGUGUUUCUAUUAUGUCAUCUUUCUUCUUUAUUUUGCAAAAAAAAUAUCAUGUAGUGCAUCAUAUUAAGGGAACUGAUUCUGUAGCACAUAAAUUUUGCUUAGGGAAGCUUAAAACCCAAUUUUAUAUUCUCAUAGAAAAUGAGGACCCAUAUAAUCAUCUGAAUGAUUUUCAUGUUGUUUGUCAAACUCUUAAAUAUGAGAAUUUUUCAGACGAUGAUGUUAAACUCAGACUAUUCCCAUUUUCUUUAAAGGAUAGAGUUCGUUCAUGACUCAAUACAUUGCCUGCUAAUAGCAUUACAUCAUGGGAACAAAUGGUAACAAAAUUUUUGAAUAAAUAUUUUCCAGUGCAUAAAACCAAUGCUAUUCGCAGGGAAAUCUCUGAGUUUACCCAGAGAGAAGACGAGCAAUUUUUUCAAAACAUGGGAGCGAUUCAAUGGGCUACUCCUAAAGUGUCCACACAUGGGUACGAGAAAUGGCACCAAUGCCAAUACUUUUUGGAGGGAUUAUUGCUGAAUGUGCAAGAAUGGCUAAUGGCAACAAGUGGAGGAGAGCUAAUGUGAAAAAGUGCAUAAGAGAUUUGGGAAUUCUUCCAGCAACAAGCGGAUAAUUCCCAACAACGGAGUCGAUCACUCAGGACUACUAAAAGAAUUAAGGGAGUGAAUGAGGUUCACAUUGGCGAGUAAAGUUCAAAAAUUAAAGAAGUCAAAGCAAUAAUUGAAGGUCUCUCUCGACAAAUAGCAUCGUUAUCGACUGCUAAAUCAACAGAACCACAUGACCAUGACUCAUACUCAGAUCAAGCCAAUGCCAUAGGUGUAAUAAGAAAACCAUCUAAUACUCAGAUCAAGCCAAUGCCAUAGGUGUAAUGAAAAAACCAUCUAAUUACAACCUAUAUUCCAACACAUAUAACCCUGGAUGGAGCGACCACCCCAAUUUUUCAUGGUCUCAAGGAUUCCAACAGAAUGGACCAGCAACUCCAGCUCCACCAAUGCAACCAAUUCCUCAAGUUCUUCAAGCCUCUCAGCCACCAUUCAGACCAUAUAAUCAAAACCCGAAUUACUCUCAACCCAGACCAUGGGAGGAUGCAUUCCAAAAUUUCAAGAAUGGUACUCACUCCACGAUUGAGCAACAAAACCGUACCAUUGAUGAAAUAUGAAAUGAGAUGAGAGCAGGCUUCAACUCACAAGCCCAAUCAAUUUCAAACCUCGAGAAGAUGGUGGGACAACUUACUUCUUCAGUUCAAACUUUGGCGAUGACUGUUGAGAAAGGCAAGUUUCCAAGUCAACCAGUGCCUAAUCCUAAAGGAGUGCAUGAAGUAAGUAUCAGUUCACCACAACAGCAUGGAGAGGUCAAAGUCGUCAUGAACUUACGAAAAGGGAAAGAAAUCGACAACAAAGUGGAGAUGCCAGUGACAAAAACAAAUCAAAUUGUACCUGUAAAUGCCGAAGACUCAUCAUCAGAGGAGAAAGAAGAAACUGACCCACGAGAAUAUGUUCCUAAAGCUCUAUUUCCUCAAAGGUUAGCUAAAGGAAGUUGGCUAAUGGAGAAGCAAAUCAGUUAUUUCUCUUUAAAUUGCCGAGUUUCCAUUUUAAUUGAUGUAAGGCAUUUAAGCCAAUUAGGAUUUUGAUUUGAUUUAGAUUCUUUCCUAUUUGCUUAGAUUAGGAUUUUGGUUUGGUUUGGUUUAGUUUCUUUCCCAUUCGCUUAGAUUAUGAUUCUAAUUUAAUCUAGAUUCUUUUCUUAUUUUCUUAGAUUAGGAUUCUAAUUUGAUUUUGGUUUAGGAUUUACUUCCAAAAAUUCUUGUACUCGCAUCCAAUAAAUGAAAAAAAGAUUAAUUUUGAUGCAAUUGGUGAGAGAAUUAAUUCUCUUUAGUCCUUAUACAAACUCUUUGAACUUAUCAGAUUUCCAUGGCGUUCAAACUCUUAACUUAUCAAUCAGAUCAUCCAUAACUGAUUGUGGCAUCCUCACAUACCAAGGUUUGUGCUUUCAUAGAGCAUUGGAUCGCGGUUUCAUUAAAUUCUAGGUUUAGAUUUGAUCUUGGAGACUAAAUUGAUUAGGGUGGCGCUAGUUCUUGGUGGGGUUCAUAUUAGUGCUAUUGAUGUAUUAGCUAAAUUUGCUCCUAAGUGUUCUAGAUCCUUAGUUUGGGUUGAGAAUUACCCAAAUAUUAUAGAAUGUUCUCUUUAGUUUACUCUUUAAAAUAUAACAGCCGCUUUUAUUAAAAAAAUUAUUAAGAAAUUACUAUUAUUAUUAUUAUCAACAAAUAGUACAAUAUAAUAAAUUAGAAAAGUAUAAAAAAAUUGAGGAAAUUAUCAAACUUGAUGAUAAGAACCCCAUCCAGAAUUGAUGCAACCCUAAUCAAUUUAGUCCCCAAAGAUCGAAUCUAAAUCUGGAAUUGAAUGGAACCAUGACCCAAUGCUUAAUGAAAGCAUGAACGUUGGUAUGUGAGGAUGCCACAAUCGGUUGUGGAUGAUCUGAUUGAUAAUUCAAAAGUUUGAAUGUCACGGAAAUCCGAUAAGCUUAAAGAGUUUGUUUAAGAACGAAAGAGAAUUAACUCUAUCACUAAUUGCAUUAAAGCUGAUCUUCUCUGUUUAUUGGUUGCGAGUACAUUAUAAAUCCUAAACCAAAAUCAAAUCGAAAUCUGAAUCUAAACAACUAGGAGAGAAUCUAAAUCAAAUUAGAAUCCUAAUCUAAGCAAAUAGGAAAGAAUCUAAAUAAAAUCAAAAUCCUAAUCGGCUUAAAUGUCUUACAUUAAUUAAAAUGAAAACUCGGCAAUUAAAAGAGAAAUAACUUAUCUGUUUCUCCAGUAGCCUCCUCAAGAAAUGAGAAAGUAUUUGAAAAAGGCAAAUAAUAUAUUUUCCUGCCAUAAUAUGCAAGCCAACUUCCUAUUUCAUGGAAGUGAUUAUUUGAAAACUUCAAGAGCCUAAAUCAUGUAUUUAUCAUGUGUGAUUCCUUCAACGGGCCUCACAAAUUUGAUUGAGCCCAAGUUAUUUAAAUCAACCCAUUAAGCACUUCUUUGAAUUUCUUUGCUCAAGCACUUGUGACAGGUUUGACAGGAACUUGAAUCGGAUUUGAAUAUGCUUCAUCCCACAUGCUUGUGAUAGUUUUGUCCUUAAUCUGAUCACUCGAACCUAAAUCAAAUUCAUAAAGCCUAACUCUAAUUCAAAUUGAUCAAACUUACGAAACCUUGAUAUGGUGAUGAGAGAUUGGGGAUUGCUAGCAUUCAUUAGCAUGAGAUUGAUGUAAUGAUGUUGUUGCAUGCGGCGGCAUAGUGCUAGAGUUGAUAAUGUGAACCUCACAAAGAUGAGUGAGACCCUACACUCACUGAUGUUCUUUUGCUGAGGAUUGUUCUAAUUUAGAUUUAAACAAUCAUAAAAUAAAGAUCUUGACAUUUUAUCUAUAAAGAUAAGAACCAACGGUAUAAGAAAUCAGGGUUGAGGCCACACUUAAGAAAAAAGAGAAGAUUGUAAGUGAUAUGUCAAAAAAGAAUGCCACAAGAUGAGAUCAUGAUAAAUUUUGAAAGUUCUUGGAAGAACCAAAGAGAAAAGCUCUCACAUUAGUAUAAACUCUAAUUUAAAAUUCCUAAUAGGUUACAUGGGUUUGUAUGGUUGAAGUUUACUAAUGGAAUAAGGUUUUCCUUAUUGCUAAAUAUAACCUAAAGUAAAAGGAAAUAAAAGAUCCUAAAGUAAAAAGGAAAUAAAAGAUCCUAAAGUAAAUAAAAGAUCUUGCCUAAAGUAAAAAAGAAAUUAAAAAUAUUGUUUACCCUAAAGUAAAAGAUCCUAAAAUAAAUAAAAGAUCUUUCCUUAUUGCUAAAUAUAACCUAGAGUAAAAAGGAAAUAAAAGAUCCUAAAGUAAAUAAAAGAUCUUGCCUAAAGUAAAAAAGAAAUUAAAAAUAUUGUUUACCCUAAAGUAAAAAGGAAAUAAAAGAUCCUAAAGUAAAUAAAAGAUCUUGCCUAAAGUAAAAAAGAAAUUAAAAAUAUUGUUUACCCUAAAGUAAAAAGAAAAUAAAAGAUCUUGUUUAUCCUAAAGUAAAAAGGAAAUAAAAGAUCUUGUUUACCCUAAAGUUAAAAGAAAAUAAAAAGAUCUUGUUUAUCCUAAAAUAAAAAGGAAAUAAAAGAUCUUAUUUUCAAAAUAGAUUGGGAAACAGGAUUUUGCUUGAUUUCUCUUCUUAAUUUGAUAAGGCUUUCUUUGUUCAUCAUGCAAGUCACUCCAAAUAAAAUUUAAAAGCCUGAGUAAUCUUAAAUACUUAAUUUAUGCAGAUUAUUGUUUUGAACAAGGUAUGAAUUUGAGAUGUGCUCAAUUAAUCCAUUUAAUACUUCCUUCAUUUUCUUAGUUCUUGACCUUAUCAUUGGACCUUAAUAGAUGCUUAAUGGAUCUUAUGGAGCUUUAGCAACUUGGUUCUCAUCGGUUGCUACACACGGCAGCAUAAAGGUGUUGAAGCUACCAUGCUCGAUGGUACGAGGAUGGGGCUGUUGCACGUGAUGACACAAGGACGGGGCUCUGUGUGCAAUGGUGCGAUGAUGUGGUUGUUGUGGGCAAUGAAGAGUGGAUUGUUGUUGUGGAUGUGUUUUGGCUUUUAAGGUUUGUAAAUUUUGUUAGAAAUUUUGAAUUUUAUGGUUUCAUAACCAAAUUUGGGGAUUUAGAAUUUAUAGGUGAUCAACUAAAGUACAAAAUCUUUGGAACAUAUUUUAAUAUGUUAAGGAUUAUUUGUCAAUUUUCACACAUUUAGGGUUAUUUUGAAUACUGUAAAAUUA